AUGCAAGUCGAACGGUAACGGGCCUUCGGGUGCCGACGAGUGGCGAACGGGGGAGUAAUGCAUCGGAACGUACCCAUUAGUGGGGGAUAACUCUCCGAAAGGAGGGCUAAUACCGCAUAUUCUGUGAGCAGGAAAGCAGGGGAUCGCAAGACCUUGCGCUGAUGGAGCGGCCGAUGUCAGAUUAGCUAGUUGGUGAGGUAAAGGCUCACCAAGGCGACGAUCUGUAGCGGGUCUGAGAGGAUGAUCCGCCACACUGGAACUGAGACACGGUCCAGACUCCUACGGGAGGCAGCAGUGGGGAAUUUUGGACAAUGGGGGCAACCCUGAUCCAGCCAUGCCGCGUGAGUGAAGAAGGCCUUCGGGUUGUAAAGCUCUUUCGGCCAGGAAGAAAUCGCAUGGGUUAAUACCCUGUGUGGAUGACGGUACCGGAAUAAGAAGCACCGGCUAACUACGUGCCAGCAGCCGCGGUAAAACGUAGGGUGCGAGCGUUAAUCGGAAUUACUGGGCGUAAAGCGUGCACAGGCGGUUUUGUAAGACAGGCGUGAAAUCCCCGGGCUUAACCUGGGAACUGCGCUUGUGACUGCAAGGCUAGAGUACGGCAGAGGGGGGUGGAAUUCCACGUGUAGCAGUGAAAUGCGUAGAGAUGUGGAGGAACACCGAUGGCGAAGGCAGCCCCCUGGGCCGAUACUGACGCUCAUGCACGAAAGCGUGGGGAGCAAACAGGAUUAGAUACCCUGGUAGUCCACGCCCUAACGAUGUCAACUAGGUGUUGGGUGGGUAAAACCAUUUAGUACCGGAGCUAACGCGUGAAGUUGACCGCCUGGGGAGUACGGCCG
rnacentral:rRNA from 1 species